rnacentral:rRNA from 1 species
CCGGAAGAAUAAGCACCGGCUAAUUACGUGCCAGCAGCCGCGGUAAUCCGUAGGGUGCAAGCGUUAAUCGGAAUUACUGGGCGUAAAGCGUGCGCAGGCGGUUCGCUAAGACAGAUGUGAAAUCCCCGGGCUUAACCUGGGAACUGCAUUUGUGACUGGCGGGCUAGAGUAUGGCAGAGGGGGGUAGAAUUCCACGUGUAGCAGUGAAAUGCGUAGAGAUGUGGAGGAAUACCGAUGGCGAAGGCAGCCCCCUGGGCCAAUACUGACGCUCAUGCACGAAAGCGUGGGGAGCAAACAGGAUUAGAUACCCUGGUAGUCCACGCCCUAAACGAUGUCAACUAGUUGUCGGGUCUUCAUUGACUUGGUAACGUAGCCAACGCGUGGGGUUGACCGCCUGGGGAUGACGUUCGCAAG